UACGUAGGGUGCAAGCGUUGUCCGGAAUUAUUGGGCGUAAAGAGCGUGUAGGCGGCCAGAUAGGUCUGCUGUGAAAACUCGAGGCUCAACCUCGAGAUGUCGGCGGAAACCAUUUGGCUAGAGUCCGGAAGAGGAAAGUGGAAUUCCUGGUGUAGCGGUGAAAUGCGCAGAUAUCAGGAAGAACACUCGUGGCGAAGGCGGCUUUCUGGGACGGUACUGACGCUGAGACGCGAAAGCGUGGGGAGCGAACAGG
rnacentral:rRNA from 1 species